rnacentral:lncRNA from 1 species
GUUAAAGAAGUCUACUCAUUUCUCUUUUGCUUCAGUUUAUUCCUUAUCGUUUUCAUACUUCUGUUUCUUGCUUACUUACAGGUUUAUUUUGACUACUUGUGCUCCUUGUUGGAAAAGACUUUUUUCAGGUAGACUUCUAAAAGUCAGAAGUUCAAGUCCAGUUACUGCUGCAGUUAUACAGCAGUGUUUGGAAUGUUUGCAGCCAUAUAAGCAACGAGUUUCUUCUUGGUGUGUGGUUUCAGCACAGCAUGGUUGUGGUCAUCCACUUGCAAGGUCUUCUGAUUGUGGUGGGGACCAUGGACUUCUCUGGAUUGACCAUUCCUGAUGGGGGCGUGCAUAUUGUAGGGGGUGAGCUGGGGGAAUAAAAUC